UCCUACGGGCGCAGCAGUGGGGGAUAUUGCACAAUGGGGGAAACCCUGAUGCAGCAACGCCGCGUGGAGGAUGAAGGUUUUCGGAUUGUAAACUCCUUUUGUUAGAGAAGAUAAUGACGGUAUCUAACGAAUAAGCACCGGCUAACUCCGUGCCAGCAGCCGCGGUAAUACGGAGGGUGCAAGCGUUACUCGGAAUCACUGGGCGUAAAGAGCGCGUAGGCGGGAUAGCAAGUCAGAUGUGAAAUCCUAUGGCUUAACCAUAGAACUGCAUUUGAAACUGUUAUUCUAGAGUAUGGGAGAGGUAG
rnacentral:rRNA from 1 species